CCUGGCUCUCUCAAGGACCCACGGAGACAACCCAUUGGUCUGUAGUUUCGCUUCCCUUCCUGCCCCUCCCCCAAGGGUUUUAGUUUCGUUUCUUGGGGUUCCUGGGUUCUUCGGUGGGAGCUCCUCUGGGGAGACUAGGCCUCUGAAAUCUGUGAGCAAAAGGAACCUCUGAAACCAGAACAGGUAGGAGCAGAGAGCUGAUUUCUAUGGCUUCAGCAAUCUUAGCGAAUAUGAAGGAGGAGGUGACCUGCCCCAUCUGCCUGGAGCUCCUAGUAGAACCCCUGAGCAUAGACUGUGGCCACAGCUUCUGCCAAGCCUGCAUUACUGCAAACUAUGAAUCCAUGAUAGCCAAGGAAAUGGAGAGCAGGUGUCCUGUGUGCCGAAUCGGUUACCAACUUGAGAACCUGCGUCCUAAUCGACAUGUGGCCAACAUAGUAGAGAAGAUCAAUGAGAUCAAGUUGAGCUCAGAAGAGGGGCAAAAGCAAGAGCAUUGUGCACGCCAUGGAGAGAAACUCCUACUGUUUUGCAAGGAGGAUGGAAAGGUCAUCUGCUGGCUUUGUGAGCGUUCUCAGGAGCAUCGUGGUCACCACACAUUCCUCAUGGAGGAGGUCGCCCAGGAGUACCAGGAGAAGCUGCAGAGCGCUCUGAACAACCUGAUGACAAAGCAGGAAGAAGCUGAGAAGUUGAAAGCUGGCAUCCAACAGGAGAUAACUUCCUGGAAGAAUCAACUGCAGAAAGAGAGACAGAAUAUUCAAGCAGAGUUUAAACAUCUGAAAGACAUUCUGGAUUCUGAGGAGCAGGAUGAACUGCAGAAGCUGGAGGAAGAGAAGGGGCAUAUUCUGAAGAGUAUGGAAGAGUCCAAGCAUGAGCUGAUCCAGCAGAGCCAAGUUAUACAAAAUCACAUCUCAGACUUGGAGAAUUGCUUGCAGAGACCAACAAUUGAGAUGCUGCAGGAUGUGAAUGACAUCAUUUACAGGACUGAGACCUUCACCUUGAAGAAGCCAAAAACUUUUCCUGAGAAAGAAAGGAAAUCAUUUCAAAUUCAUGAGCUGAAAAGGACAAUGCAGAUGUUUCAAGACCUGAGACAUGCCCAGCGCUAUUGGGAUGCAUUAGCCUGGAGCUGGAUUAGAAGUGGAGCAGCUGGGACUCAAACUGCUGCACAUUUUGGAUGCCAGUGUUGAAGGUAGCAGUUUAACUCACUGUAUCACAAUGGCAGUCCCUCUGUUUAUUUUUUAAAUGAAUUUUAAAAUAUAUUUUGCACAGUGGUACAAGGAGAGGCAGAAGUUGAAUUCUGAAAAUUCUUGAUUAUAAUGUAGAGUGAACAGUGAGAGAGAGAGACAGAGAAAAGUCUUCCUUUUUCCGUUGGUUCACCCCCCAAUGGCUGCUGCCACCAGCGCAUCGUGCUGAUCCGAAGCCCAGAGCCAGGUACUUCUGGUCUCCCAUGCGGGUGCAGGGCCCAAGCACUUGGACCAUCCUCCACUGCACUCCCGGGCCACAGCAGAGAGCUGGACUGGAAGAGGGGCAACCGGGACAGAAUCUGGCACUAGAACCUGGGGUGCCAGUGCCACAGGCGGAGGAUUAGCCUAUUGAGCUGCAGCACCAGCUUACUUGUACUAUCUUAAGUUGCUGACGGGUCACUCUCCAUGGACAUUUAUUCUGUCUUUUCAUUUACUGUACUGCUCAGUCCCUCACUUCAGAAAGAAGUAAUUACAAGGAAAUAAAGACCUGAAUUUGUAAAUACAACAGAAAAAAUUACACAGUGAGGGUAUUCACUUUUUAACAGAGGAUCCUAGACCCAGAAAUUAAUACCUUUGCUAAAAAGAAUAUGAAACCUAUAGAUGUCCCAGCUAUUUUGUGUCUUGGCAAUAAAAGGCUGCAGAAGAUAUCUUGGAAUCUAAAGUCCACUGGACAAAAACUAUAAAUUGCUGUUUCCCUGUGUAUUAGUUCCAUGACUUUCUCCUCUUUAUCACUGAACCUCAAAGUAGCAAUAAUGCUAGCUUGUAUUCUGGUACCUUAGUUCUGUGCUGGGCUAAUAAUUACAUAGAUGUGUGAACACCGUGGAGUAUUUGAGUGUGCUUAGGAGACUCAAGGCAUAAGGGACCUUCAGUCUACAGGGUAAUUCAUGGGCAAGAUGCAAACAGUGGUCCUAAAAGCCAUCAUCAGAUAGUGAUCAUUCUGGGAACCUGAAAUCUUUACUAGAAUGGACACAAGAUCUACACCCAUUGAUAUAGUACGCCAAUGAACACCUUCCAUUUUUCCCAAGGAUAUUGCUGUGUAGUGUCUUCAUCCUAAUGCCUAAUCUUACCAUGUUGUCCAAUGCCAGGUCAUGUUUAAUGUCAGUAUCAACAAUCACUGCUCCCCUUUUCCAUGCCUCUUCUGAACUGUGUGCCCUUCCAGUUCAGAUGACUCUUAUGUAUGUCUUCAUGGGAUAGGAAGUGAGGCAUUGUUUUUAUACUUAGUGUUGCUUUGCCACCACUGAGACCCUCCAGGUGCAUUCCUAGGUAAACAGACAGGAUUUUAAGGAGUUAGUUAUUUCACAUAUCUCAUAUAAAUGUGGAAUCUGAGGAACCAGAGACUUGAGUAGAGUCAGAAAAGUUGACCUUUCAGAUCUAAUCCAAAGGCAACCUGGGAGCUGAAUUUUUUCCUUAUGGAGAAGAUACCUGUCUUUUCUCUUAAGGCUUUCAACUGAUUGAACGAGGCCCUCCCCUUUUGGGAAGCAGAUUUGUUUUACUCAAAGUUGACUGUUUUAAAUGUUAAUGUUAUCUAAAAUAACUACAUAGUAACAUCUGGCCUAGUGUUUAUCCAAAAAUUAUGGCAUCCCAUCGCUCAGCUAAGUUGACAUGAUAAUAGGCAUUGCAGGUUCAUUAAUUUUCAACUUUGUACCCAUAAACAUCAUAAAUCACACUUAAUCUUUAAAUGAAGAUAAUAACAAGGCCAUGCUUAACCACCCAAUGUGAUCCACUGUCCUUUGUACUACCAACUCACAUUAGCUCUUUCUUCAGGUGAGGAUGAAGGUCUUUGAGUAGUGUUAACUCUUUUCCUUGAUAUAUUAUAAUGUAACUACUAGACUGUUAAGUUAUAGUAAUGCUUAAAUUCUGUGAUAAAAGUGAAUAUAUUUUUUGUUACUUAUGAGAUGGAGGUGAAAGCAUUUUAUAUACAUGCCCAGAAAAAAAAAAAAAAACAGAGUAAGAAAGACUCUUAAUAAUUGUAGUCUUCAUUUCUGUAACUGGCCGUGUAUUCACAGCUGGUCUUUGUAAC